GUACUAUACCGCAAACCAAUCAAAAACGUGUUCUAGCGUCAUGUGACGUGAAGUCUGCCAAUGAUAUUCGUUCAAAUAGGAAGUAAACAGGAAUUGACGGCUGAAGCUGAGAAGCUGCGAAUGCGAAUACUGCUGUCAGGAGCAGUACACAAGCUCCAAGAUGCUGAUCGGGGCUGGGGAAAGUGUCAUCCAGUCAAUCCCAAAGAAGUCUCCCUCAGUCUUCCAGCCAUUGGCCGUUGGUGGGGGUAUGUCUGGCUGGCUCUGCAGGCACCUCCUGUAUAUGGCUUCCUGGUAGUUUGCCCGCUGAGUGUGUUUAUAUCAGCAGAGACGGCUUCUGAUGCUACCUGACCUGAUGUAAUAUGGUAACCCCAGAUGCUCAGCCUUGCUAUCAGACAUCUUCUGGACCUGACCUGACCCUGUCGUCGAUGCCUUGAUGAUAUUGUGCAUAUAUUUUUCUAAAACAUUUUUAAAAAAUGCCUUUGUAAUAAUAUUAAUAUAAUAAAAUAUAAUAAUAAAUAAUAUACAAAAAUUG